rnacentral:misc_RNA from 1 species
GAUGAAGAACGCAGCGAAAUGCGAUACGUAAUGUGAAUUGCAGAAUUCAGUGAAUCAUCGAGUCUUUGAACGCACAUUGCGCCCCCUGGUAUUCCGGGGGGCAUGCCUGUCCGAGCGUCAUUGCUGCCCUCAAGCACGGCUUGUGUGUUGGGCCUCCGUCCUCCUCCCGGGGGACGGGCCCGGAAGGCAGCGGCGGCACCGCGUCCGGUCCUCGAGCGUAUGGGGCUUCGUCACCCGCUCUUGUAGGCCCGGCCGGCGCUUGCCGACACAUCAAUCUUUUUUCCAGGUUGACCUCGGAUCAGGUAGGGAUACCCGCUGAACUUAAGCAUAUCAAUAAGCGGAGGA